rnacentral:rRNA from 1 species
CCCUUAGAUGUUCUGGGCCGCACGCGCGCUACACUGACUGGUUCAUCGAGCUUACAACCUUGACUGAUAGGUCUGGGUAAUCUUUUGAAAGCCAGUCGUGCUGGGGAUAGACUGUUGUAAUUUUCAGUCUUCAACGAGGAAUUCCUAGUAAACGCGAGUCAUCAACUCGCAUUGAUUACGUCCCUGCCCUUUGUACACACCGCCCGUCGCACCUACCGAUUGGAUGGUCCGGUGAAGCCUCGGGAUUGUGGUUCUUGCCGCUUUAUUGUGGCGUGACCGCGAGAACUUGUCUAAACCUUAUCAUCUAGAGGAAGGUGAAGUCGUAACA